UGUGGAACAUCAGGUUGCUGGACUCGGCUUUACAUUCUCCCUGAGACUGACUGGCAGAGUCCACAGUAGGGUUUGAGCAAAGGCAAUCAAUAGACCAGUAUCCAGAGAGGUCUCAAUGACCCAGAGAAAGAAACUCAAGGAGAACCUAUGAUGGGAAACAAGGUCAUAGAGAAGGAUGACACAAUAUUUGAGACAGUUCCAAGACAAUCAGCCUACAUCACCCUGCCCACUGGUGAACGCAUAACUAAGUUAUGCUUCUUAGUUAAGCAAGAGCCAAGAGAAGAAAUGAAUUCAACUAAGUAAGUGGAAUUCAUGGUGGAUUCCUUUGAUGGGGAUUUUCCUGCUUUGAAAGGAAAUAAUAGGACGUUUUCAAUGUGGAACAGGGCUGAGGUUCUGACUGCUGGCCUAAAAGAACCAGGAAGUGAUCUGGAUAGGAUGACAGCAGCUCUUACUACGGACUGUGUUCAAAGCCAUGAUUACCAACGAGCUCCUCCACGGCUGGAGUGUAGAC
rnacentral:lncRNA from 1 species